UGCGGAAGGAUCAUUGUCGAGACUCGAGAAAACAGGAAAGACCGGUGAACCCGUCAAUCGAAUGUGCCGUGCCGGCGGGAGACAUAGUAUGGGAGUACUCCCAGCCUAGUUGCUCCGCCGGGCGGACCUAGCCGCGUCGCCGCACCUUCCUGCGGGGACGGAGGCAAAUGCACAAACCCCGGCACGGUAUGUGCCAAGGACCUUUUUGGACUCGUGAGGCGUGGUGGUGGGACGGCGAUGUGCUCGCCGGACCGGAGCCAACUCGCGGACGGUAACGAAAUGUCGCAUACAUGACGACUCUCGGCAACGGAUAUCUAGGCUCUCGCAUCGAUGAAGAACGUAGCGAAAUGCGAUACUUGGUGUGAAUUGCAGAAUCCCGCGAACCAUCGAGUCUUUGAACGCAAGUUGCGCCCGAGGCCUCUUGGUCUAGGGCACGCCUGCCUGGGCGUCACGCCUCGCGUCGCUCCGAGCGCCCGUAGUGUCGGACGGACGGAAGCGGAGAUUGGCCCACCGUGCCAUUCUUGGCAUGGCGGGCUGAAGUAAGGGAUACCGAUGGGGCGUCGGGACAUAACGAGUGGUGGAUGGAAGCCUAUGGCCAUGUGGCCGACGUCAUGCUCCCCGCUCCGCCCCAUAUGCCUAGCUGAGAUGUCUGUACGGUCUUCCGUUCGGCGUGGAAGGGACCCUCGAAGGGCGGAUCGGUCCGUGCGAUCGGACUGCCCUCGCGUUGCGACCCCAGGUCAGGCGGGACUACCCGCCGAGUUUAAGCAUAUCAAUAAG
rnacentral:rRNA from 1 species